rnacentral:rRNA from 1 species
GGGGAAUAUUGGACAAUGGGGGCAACCCUGAUCCAGCCAUGCCGCGUGAGUGAUGAAGGCCUUCGGGUUGUAAAGCUCUUUUGGCGGGGACGAUGAUGUCGGUACCCGCAGAAUAAGCCCCGGCUAACUUCGUGCCAGCAGCCGCGGUAAGACGAAGGGGGCAAGCGUUGUUCGGAAUUACUGGGCGUAAAGGGCGCGUAGGCGGUUUGCUUAGUCAGGCGUGAAAGCCCUGGGCUUAACCUGGGAUGUGCGCUUGAUACUGGCAGGCUUGAGUGUGGGAGAGGUUGGUGGAAUUCCCAGUGUAGAGGUGAAAUUCGUAGAUAUUGGGAAGAACACCGGUGGCGAAGGCGGCCAACUGGACCACAACUGACGCUGAGGCGCGAAAGCGUGGGGAGCAAACA